rnacentral:rRNA from 1 species
UACGAAGGGUGCAAACGUUGCUCGGAAUUAUUGGGCGUAAAGCGCACGUAGGCGGCAUUGCAAGUCCCAUGUGAAAUCCCACGGCUUAACCGUGGAAGUGCAUGGGAAACUGCAGUGCUUGAGUACUUAAGAGGAUCGCGGAAUUCCCGGUGUAGAGGUGAAAUUCGUAGAUAUCGGGAGGAACACCAGUGGCGAAGGCGGCGAUCUGGGUCGAUACUGACGCUGAGGUGCGAAAGCGUGGGAGCAAACAGG